rnacentral:rRNA from 1 species
AUUAAAACAGUUAUAGUUUAUUUGAUGGUCACCUGUUAUUUGGAUAACUGUGGUAAUUCUAGAGCUAAUACAUGCAUAAAAACCCGACUUUCAGGAAGGGUUGUAUUUAUUAGAUACAGAACCAAUCCCUUCGGGGUUCUUUGGAUGAUUCAUAAUAAAUGAACGGAGCGCAUGACGUGAGUCGGCGCUGUGUCAUUCAAGUUUCUGACCUAUCANCUUUCGACGGGAGGGUAUUGGCCNACCGUGGCAUUGACGGGUAACGGAAAAUUAGGGUUCGAUUCCGGAGAGGGAGCCCGAAAAACGGCUACCACAUCUAAGGAAGGNAGCAGGNGCGCAAAUUACCCNAUCCUGACACAGGGAGGUAGUGACAAAAAAUAACAAAGCAGGCC